UACGGAGGGUGCGAGCGUUGUCCGGAAUCAUUGGGCGUAAAGGGCUCGUAGGCGGUUUGUCGCGUCGGGAGUGAAAACUCAGGGCUUAACCCUGAGCCUGCUUCCGAUACGGGCAGACUAGAGGUAUGCAGGGGAGAACGGAAUUCCUGGUGUAGCGGUGAAAUGCGCAGAUAUCAGGAGGAACACCGGUGGCGAAGGCGGUUCUCUGGGCAUUACCUGACGCUGAGGAGCGAAAGUGUGGGGAGCGAACAGG
rnacentral:rRNA from 1 species